rnacentral:lncRNA from 1 species
GCAAAAUUCACUAUUAAAGAUAGAUAAUUUUCGGGGUCUCAAAAAUAUUUUGAGGGAUCUUACAUAAGUCUUUGUACUGGGACCUCAUUUUGUAUACGUAGCAUUGAUUUCCCUGUGGAUUGGAACUGAUGGGGUUUUGGGAGCAGAAUAUCCUCUCAUGCAGAGUUUGCCAACCUUGGCACUGUUACCAUUUGGGGCUGGAUUAUCCUUUGUUGGGAAAGGGGUGCUCUCCUGUACAUUGUAGGAUAUUUAGCAGCUAUUCACUAGAUGCCAUUGGUAUCCUCUCAUUUAUGACAACCAAAAAUGUUUCCAGACGUUGCUUGUUCCAGGUAGGCAAUAUUUCCCCCAUUCCAGUGUUGAGAACUAUUGUACUAGAAUAAUUGCCUUCUGAAUUUUAUUAGUUGUACCUUUUCUCCCCAGAUGCCGAUUUUGCUUAACCUGGCCUGUAAAAGUGUGGUCUUUGAACUUACUUGAUAGGAGAUUGCCUCUCAAAUCGGGUUCCUGAGCUUAUCCUAGAUCUACUGAAUCAGAAACACUGGAGGUAGAAUCCAGAGAUGGGAUUUUUACAUAACAGUCCCCCUGCCCUUAAUCAGGUAAUUCUAUGCCCUAGGUUUGACCCUCCUGUGGCAUAACUGCUGCAUUACCCACAUUUUUUCCUACAAGUCUUCCUGGUGCUUCAGCUUUGCUUCCGCUCUUGGACUCAUGAUGCCAACACAAAUAGGGAGGCCUCAGGUAACCAGGACAACUGGAGCACAGGAAACCAUAAAGACUCAGCGCUCCCACAGGCAUCACGGAUGGUGGCUAUCCUGGCUUGCUUUCUCCUUAGGGACUCAGUCAGCCUUCUUACUUCCUAGCCUCAAAGUACCCAGACUGGAAGAUACCCAGGUCCAUACCACAGAUCCUGACUUCACAGACCUGGUAAUAGAAUAUGGAAUGGGCAGGGGCUGGGGAUGUGGCUCAGCACAUGCUUGGCAUGAAGUCAGGGUUUGAUCCCAAGAAAACAAACAAGACACAAAAGGAAUGGUGAGGGAAGCUUUUGUUCUAACAUUGAUAUUCCAUGUCACCUUGGUGAUAACUAAAUGGUGAAUUUUUUAUGGUAAGAAUUACAUUUCCCUGAGAGCUAGUUAGAUUACAAGUUUUGAAGUCAGGAUGUUUCCAUUUAUUUAUAUUAUUAAUACCUAUUUCAUUGGACCUUGAGUAUUGGAUGUUUUUCAUCCUCCUCACUAGAUGUUCAUAAUUUGUUUUGGGCCAGAAGAUUUAGAAAGGUACUAUUUUUUUUUUUGAUUGUGGUGCUAGGGAUCCAACCUAGGCCCUCAUGCAUGCAUGCCAGACAAGCACUCUACCAAUGGGUCACAACCCCAACUUAGUAAAAAGAAUUAAAAAAAAAAUUUUUUUUUAAUUUUUGUUAUUGAGGAUUGAACCGAGGGACACUUAACCACUGAGCCACAUUCUCAGCCAUUUUUAUUUUUUAUUUCAAGAUAGAGUGUCCUUAAGUUGCUUAGGGCCUUACUAAAUUGCUGAGGCUGCUUUUGAACUUGCAAUUUGAACUUCUUCAGUCUCUCAAGCCACUGGGAUUUUAUGUGUGUGCCACCACACCCAGCUCAGCAAUACACUUUUAAUACACUGGGAACAGGUAAGGUUUAGCCAGAAAAGAAUAGUUGCUAAAUAAUGAAUUUAGAUUUAAUUUACACUUCAUUAUCAAAGCUAAUCAUUUGUUUAAGGAAAAUCAUCUGGCUUGGUUAAGUCCUGAUAAAAUCAUGAAUAAAUGAAAAGCUACUUAGAUGCUUGAAAAUGUUAAAUUGACCACCUCCAUGGAGCAUUCAAGACAGAUUAAAGUAAGGGACCGAAAAGAUCCCUUAAAGUAAGGCAGAAUUGCUAAUUCUUUUCAAACAGUGGAAGGACUGUCAUGUGGGGGAGGGAUCACAUUUACUUGGUUUAACUCCAGAAGGUGGAAUGAAAACUUUUAUUUAGAUGACAGUAAUAGUGGACACAUUUUGGCUUGAUAAGGAUGAACUUUUGAAUAAUUUUAGGACCCCAAAUUGGAAUGAGAUAAAUUAUUAGGGAGUGAAUUAUUUGUGACCUCCAUACAUUCCUUAUGUAGAGGUUAGAUUACCAUUUGCACAAGUUUGGAUAAGGUUUUGGUCAUUAAAUUAGGUUUAACCUGUAAGGAGAAACAGGCAAAUUUAGCCAAAAUCAAUUCAUCUUUUUUUUAUUAUAUGAUUCUGUGGCAACUGUUCAAGUUAUUACUAUUUUUUUAGGCAUUUCUGCCAAGUUUACCCCCUGAGUCAUUCAACAUUAGAGUUGUAUAAAGGUCUUUAGAGACUUCUCAAACUUUGUUCCUUAGCCUUCAGGAUAUUCAUGGUCUCAGAAGUGGUUGAGAAGGGUGAAGUGAAAAUCUCUGGGCCCUUUACCUAUGCUUUAACCAGAAAAAUCUUGCUUUUAUUUGUUUUAAAAAUUAGAUUUCCUUCAAGAAGGAGGGCUGCUAAAAAAAAAAAAAGUGUAUUCAAGGGUGCUGGUAUUCUAAUAUCUUUAUUUAUGGAGGGAAAUUUAAGAUAUGGACCAGGGAAGUGUCACACAGCUAAUAAAAUUCACAAUCAAUUUUCAAAUCUAGC